rnacentral:rRNA from 1 species
ACGGCCACACCUAGGUGAAAACACCAGUUCCCGUCCGAUCACUGCAGUUAAGCGUCUGAGGGUCUCGUUAGUACUAUGGUUGGAGACAACAUGGGAAUCCGGGAUGCUGUAGGCU